AACUUCUCCCCUCAUUCAAAGCCAGUAAACCCUAGCCGCCUCCCACAACCGAGAGAAACCACCGCUACCGUCAAUUAUCUUAGAAUCGAGCCUUCGAUCGGAGAUUCGGAGUCACAUAGUUCAGGGUUUUUUACGCUUGCGCCGUAGGACGUCGAUUCAUCUACUUUCUACGAAAACGUUUUGGGAUGUCGAAAAGAGGUCGCCCCCUCAAAAGCCAGCCCACGCAGACCGAAGCUUCGCUGCCUAGGUUGGACAUUGACGAAGCGGUCGAUGAUGUUAUUCCAAUUGUGAUUGCGCAAAAGUUCAGGGAGAGAUUGGCUGAGCAAAGGACCGAGACGAGUACCUCUUAUGAAGACACAAAAAUUGUAUAAUGGAUGUAAUUAACAUAAUAAUGUACAGAUU